rnacentral:rRNA from 1 species
UACGGAGGGUGCAAGCGUUAUCCGGAUUUACUGGGUUUAAAGGGUGCGUAGGUGGGUUGGUAAGUCAGUGGUGAAAUACUUUCGCUUAACGAAGGAACUGCCAUUGAUACUACCAGUCUUGAAUACAGUGGAGGAGGCGGAAUGCGUCAUGUAGCGGUGAAAUGCUUAGAUAUGACGCAGAACACCAAUUGCGAAGGCAGCUUGCUAC